AAGUCGUAACAAGGUAACCGUAGGUGAACCUGCGGUUGGAUCAUUAGAAAAUUCUCGAAGCAAACGCUUCAGAAACACUGUGUGCACCGUUUUCUGUCUCUGGCAGGACCAGGGAGCAGCGAUGCUCUCCCCUGCCAAAGGAGUGGGAGCUGCCCUUCGGGCGACUUCCAUUCUGAUUUGAACAACCCUAUGUUUGUUUCAAUUUGUCUGAAUAAUUCUUCACCUAGUGUGAGAAAUUGAAAACAACUUUUGGCAACGGAUCUCUUGGCUCUC
rnacentral:misc_RNA from 1 species